AUUGAACGCUGGCGGCAGGCCUAACACAUGCAAGUCGAACGGAGCGGCGGACGGGUGAGUAAUUCCUAGGAAUCUGCCUGGUAGUGGGGUAUAACUUCCGGAAACGUGCGCUAAUACCGCAUACUAUCAGAUGAGCCUAGGUCGGAUUAGCUCGUUGGUGGGGUAAAGGCCUACCAAGGCGACGAUCCGUAACUGUUCUGAGAGGAUGAUCAGUCACACUGGAACUGAGACACGGUCCAGACUCCUACGGGAGGCAGCAGUGGGGAAUAUUGGACAAUGGGCGAAAGCCUGAUCCAGCCAUGCCGCGUGAGUGAAGAAGGUCUUCGGAUUGUAAAGCACUUUUAGUUGGGAGGCGUUAACAACAGAAUAAGCACCGGCUAACUUCGUGCCAGCAGCCGCGGUAAUUC
rnacentral:rRNA from 1 species